GAUGAACGCUGGCGGCGUGCUUAACACAUGCAAGUCGAACGGUGAAGCAGGAGCUUGCUCCUGUGGAUCAGUGGCGAACGGGUGAGUAACACGUGAGCAAUCUGCCCUGGACUCUGGGAUAAGCGUUGGAAACGACGUCUAAUACCGGAUACGAGGCGUGGGGGCAUCCCCAACGCCUGGAAAGAACUUCGGUCCAGGAUGAGCUCGCGGCCUAUCAGGUAGUUGGUGAGGUAACGGCUCACCAAGCCUACGACGGGUAGCCGGCCUGAGAGGGUGGCCGGCCACACUGGGACUGAGACACGGCCCAGACUCCUACGGGAGGCAGCAGUGGGGAAUAUUGCACAAUGGGCGCAAGCCUGAUGCAGCAACGCCGCGUGAGGGACGACGGCCUUCAGGUUGUAAACCUCUUUUAGCAGGGAAGAAGCGAAAGUGACGGUACCUGCAGAAAAAGCACCGGCUAACUACGUGCCAGCCGCCGCAGUAAAAC
rnacentral:rRNA from 1 species